GAAAUGCGAUAACUAGUGUGAAUUGCAUUAUCUCGUGAACCAUCGAGUCUUUGAACGCACCUUGCACUGUGCAGAGAGUAUCUGAACAGUAUGGAUGUUUGAGAAUCAUAUAAAUAUAUACGCAAGUAUGAGUUGAGGAAUCCAAGUUACUACUUGUUCCUUGAAAUUUAUGCGCACGGUGAAAUGUGUGAUAACAAUUGCACAAAGUACCCCCUGCGAGACUAAACUAACACCAAUAUCAUCGAUCUCAAAUCAUCCAAGAUUACCCGCUGAACUUAA
rnacentral:misc_RNA from 1 species